rnacentral:RNase_P_RNA from 1 species
CACGGUUGUUCAUAACGUGAACUUCGGGUAACCGGAGGAAAGUGCCACAGAAAAUACACCGCCGAUGGUUUGGUUCGUCCAAGCACAGGUAAGGUUGAAAUGGCGAGGUAAGAGCUCACCGCUUGGCUGGUGACAGGCAAGGCAGGGUAAACCCCACCGGGUGCAAGACCAAAUAGAGAAGCGUUUGAGGGCUGCCCGUCCGAUGCUUCCGGGUAGGUUGCUUGAGGCGUCGAGUGAUCGACGUCCCAGAUAAAUGAUCAUGAUCCGUUUUUACGGAAACAGAAUUCGGCUUAUAUCCCACCCCGUUCU